rnacentral:rRNA from 1 species
AGAUCAUCAUUGGGCAUAAAGUGUGCGCAGGCGGUUUUGUAAGACAGAGGUGAAAUCCCCGGGCUCAACCUGGGAACUGCCUUUGUGACUGCAAGGCUGGAGUGCGGCAGAGGGGGAUGGAAUUCCGCGUGUAGCAGUGAAAUGCGUAGAUAUGCGGAGGAACACCGAUGGCGAAGGCAAUCCCCUGGGCCUGCACUGACGCUCAUGCACGAAAGCGUGGGGAGCAAACA